UACGGAGGAUCCAAGCGUUAUCCGGAUUUAUUGGGUUUAAAGGGUGCGUAGGCGGAUUGAUAAGUUAGAGGUGAAAUGUCCGAGCUCAACUCGGGAACUGCCUCUAAUACUGUUGAUCUAGAGAGUAGAUGCGGUAGGCGGAAUGUAUGGUGUAGCGGUGAAAUGCUUAGAGAUCAUACGGAACACCGAUUGCGAAGGCAGCUUACCAAUCUAUAUCUGACGUUGAGGCACGAAAGCGUGGGGAUCAAACAGG
rnacentral:rRNA from 1 species